ACGGAAGGCAGCAGUGGGGAAUCUUCCGCAAUGGGCGCAAGCCUGACGGAGCAACGCCGCGUGAAUGAAGAAGGUCUUCGGAUCGUAAAGUUCUGUUGAGAGGGACGAGAGAUAACUUCAGGAAAUGGGAGUUAGAGGACGGUACCUUUCGAGGAAGCCACGGCUAACUACGUGCCAGCAGCCGCGGUAAUACGUAGGUUGCAAGCGUUGUCCGGAUUUACUGGGUGUAAAGGGCGUGUAGGCGGAGCUGCAAGUCAGAUGUGAAAUCCCGGGGCUCAACCCCGGAACUGCAUUUGAAACUGUAGCCCUUGAGUAUCGGAGAGGCAAGCGGAAUUCCUAGUGUAGCGGUGAAAUGCGUAGAUAUUAGGAGGAACACCAGUGGCGAAGGCGGCUUGCUGGACGACAACUGACGCUGAGGCGCGAAAGCGUGGGGAGCAAACAGGAUUAGAUACCCUGGUA
rnacentral:rRNA from 1 species